GUUCCACUCGGCAGUAAUGGCGGCCAUGUUCGAUUUCGUGUGACAUCUCCCAAAUCGUCAAUACUGCCCUCAAUCUUGUUGAUCUCAUAAAAAUGCAAGGCGUGAUUAUAUUAUUUUGCGUCUUUUUUAUUCCAAUUACUCUUGCUGCUCAAGGUUCAUCGUAUUCUGAUGUGCGAUGCAAGUGUACUUGUCCAAAAGAGCUCGGCAAAAACAACACGAAAAACGUGUUUGUUGCUACUGUAGAACCAGAACAGUGUACUUGUCAACACAUUGUAAAAAGAGAAGAGAGAUUCUGUCUGAGAUGCCAGUGCAAAUAUGAGGCAAGAAAUACAAUUCUCAUCAAGGUGAUCAUUAUAAUCAUCCUCAUAGUCUUGGCCAUCCUUUGCUGCUAUUGUAUUUACCUGGUUGUUGACUCCAAACUAAAACCAGUAGAUCUGAGUGUUAUUUCAGAUGAGGUCAGUAGUCCUCAGGUGCAGCAGAGUCUGAAUGAAAGAAGUCGUCGCACAUCCAGCUUUAGCAUGAGAACACUUGAUCAGAAACAUGCUCGCUGGAAACAGGCUGUUGCACAACAGAGGAGACAUAUCUAUGACACAAGGACAAUCAAUGCGUGAGAACACUUGAUCAGAAACAUGCUCAGUGGAAACAGGCUGUUGCAAAACAAAGGAGACAUAUCUAUGACUCAAGGACAAUCAAUGCGUGAGAGCACUUAAUCAGAAACACUCUGUAAACAGGCUGUUUCACAACAGAUAAGACAUAUCUAUGACUCAAGGACAAUGAAUGAGAGAUGGUGAUAAUUCUUGAUCAAAUGUAUGCAUGCCAGGAUAAACAACAAUCAAUGCUUAGCUAGAGCACAUGCAAAGGUAACAGUAACAACAGUAAAAGGUAGGCAGGCAAGUUAUAUUUCCACAUUUUAAAUGGAUUCACAACAUCUCAGAAUACUUCAGUUCCUUAAGCUGAGACUGGGGAGCCUUUUACCUAAAAGUUAACAACUGUGCUGUACAGCCAUAGCUAGUUCUAAAUUUUAAGUAUAUGGGUAUAUAUAUGGGAAGGGAUUUUAUGUGAUUUAUAAUUCAAGUAAACCGAUAUUAAGGAAAGGGGAGGGGGGGGGGGGAGCAAUACCUAACAGUCUUAUAUCUUUGCCAAUAGCACUGACAAGACUUUCUCACACACAAGGUUAGAUAUCGUGUUUUCUGUCAUGGCAGCACAUGCUUCUUUCCGUAGCAUCAGUUAACAAUACCCCUCCCGGGUCAACUUGUUUCUGAUUACCAUAUAUACUGACCAAUACCGGGCUGCGGGGAAGUGUUUGCUCAUUUUGCAUUUUAAAUCUCAGCUAUAAGAAGUGGUGCCAGUAGUGCAGGGUAUAGCGGGAGGGGUUCAAUUAGACUUUGGAAUACCCAUGAGAAGGGCUUUUACAUGAUAUAUAAUGCAAGUAAACCCAUAAAGGGGGAAGGGGGGGGGGGUACCCAACAAUCUAACAUCUUUGCCACUGAAUCAGCUUAUUUCUGAUUACCCUGUAUAUUGAGCAAUAACGGGCUGUGGUAAAGGGGGAGGCAUGUUUGGUCACUUUGUACUUUGAUUCUCAGCUACAGUACAUGUAUAAGAAGUAGAGCUUCUUUGCAAUAUAUAGCAGAAGAGGUUCAAUUAGACUUUUGUUUGCUGGAAAUCUUUCCAUUUGCUGUAUGUCCCUUAUGGGCCACCAAAGAUCCCAUUUGAAAACCCUUGCCAGCCACACCCUUGUUUUCAACCAACAUUGGAACCAAUCAUAAGAAGGUUUCUCGAAAUUACCACCUGAAAAUAAAAUCUUUUCCUUUAUUCACCAAAUUCAGUCGAAAAUACCACAAAAGCUUCCCCAAAUCAGUCGAUGGAAAUGGAUGCUUUGUCACCCUUGGUACUUCGCUAGAAUAACGCGAUGGCGGCUGACAAUAUGCUUAUUGUAAUUAAUUUUGUGUCAAGCGUUUUAAUAAUGUUGACACACUUUAUCCGGUGUUUUAUGAGAUGACAUACCUUUGUCAUAUUCCCAUAUCACAGUAUAAAUUUUAAUUAAAAUUAUAUCUCUUUGCCGUGGGUGAUAUACAAUCUUUAGAACUUUUUUACAUUUCAAACUGUUUUGACCUGAAGAAGGAGGUCACGGUUAAUCCCUAGUAUUUGUUAGCAGAAGAAUAGAAGUGGAUAACCCUCCACUCAUUAUUGCCUAAUAUCGGAAAUGUAAGGCGCUAGUUCAUCCUUAUGCUUAUCAUUUAAGAUAAAUAUCUAAUAAAUACAUCGACACAAAAAAA